rnacentral:rRNA from 1 species
UACACUCCUGCGGGAGGCAGCAGUGGGGAAUAUUGGACAAUGGGCGCAAGCCUGAUCCAGCCAUGCCGCGUGAGUGAUGAAGGCCCUAGGGUUGUAAAGCUCUUUCACCGGAGAAGAUAAUGACGGUAUCCGGAGAAGAAGCCCCGGCUAACUUCGUGCCAGCAGCCGCGGUAAUACGAAGGGGGCUAGCGUUGUUCGGAAUUACUGGGCGUAAAGCGCACGUAGGCGGAUCGAUCAGUCAGGGGUGAAAUCCCAGGGCUCAACCCUGGAACUGCCUUUGAUACUGUCGAUCUGGAGUAUGGAAGAGGUGAGUGGAAUUCCGAGUGUAGAGGUGAAAUUCGUAGAUAUUCGGAGGAACACCAGUGGCGAAGGCGGCUCACUGGUCCAUUACUGACGCUGAGGUGCGAAAGCGUGGGGAGCAAACAGGAUUAGAUACCCGAGUAGUCCCA